rnacentral:rRNA from 1 species
GACGAACGCUGGCGGCGUGCUUAACACAUGCAAGUCGAACGAUGAAGAAGAGCUUGCUCUUCGGAUUAGUGGCGAACGGGUGAGUAACACGUGACUAACCUGCCCCUUUCUCUGGGAUAACGCUCCGAAAGGAGUGCUAAUACCGGAUACUCACAUCGAGGCACAUGCCUUGAUGUGGAAAGUUUUUCGGAAAGGGAUGGAGUCGCGGCCUAUCAGCUUGUUGGUGAGGUAACGGCUCACCAAGGCGACGACGGGUAGCCGGCCUGGGAGGGGGACCGGCCACACUGGGACUGAGACACGGCCCAGACUCCUACGGGAGGCAGCAGUGGGGAAUAUUGCACAGUGGGCGAAAGCCUGAUGCAGCGACGCCGCGUGAGGGAUGAAGGUCUUCGGAUUGUAAACCUCUUUCAGUAGGGACGAAGCGAAAGUGACGGUACCUAAAGAAGAAGCACCGGCUAACUACGUGCCAGCCGCCGCCGUAA